AGAUUGAACGCUGGCGGCAUGCCUAACACAUGCAAGUCGAACGGGAGUAGCAAUACUCUAGUGGCGGACGGGUGAGGAAUACGUAGGAAUUUGCCCUUAAGUGGGGGAUAACCCGGGGAAACCCGGAUUAAUACCGCAUGACCUCGAAAGAGCAAAGUGGGGGAUCGCAAGACCUCACGCUUUUGGAGAAGCCUACGUCGGAUUAGCUAGUUGGUGAGGUAAUGGCUCACCAAGGCGACGAUCCGUAACUGGUCUGAGAGGAUGAUCAGUCACACCGGAACUGAGACGCGGUCCGGACUCCGUACGGGAGGCAGCAGGUGGGGAAUAGUGGACAAGUGGGCGCGAAGCC
rnacentral:rRNA from 1 species